rnacentral:rRNA from 1 species
GAUGAACGCUGGCGGCGUGCCUAAUACAUGCAAGUCGAGCGAACAGACGAGGAGCUUGCUCCUCUGACGUUAGCGGCGGACGGGUGAUUAACACGUGGAUAACCUACCUAUAAGACUGGGAUAACUUCGGGAAACCGGAGCUAAUACCGGAUAAUAUAUUGAACCGCAUGGUUCAAUAGUGAAAGACGGUUUUGCUGUCACUUAUAGAUGGAUCCGCGCCGCAUUAGCUAGUUGGUAAGGUAACGGCUUACCAAGGCAACGAUGCGUAGCCGACCUGAGAGGGUGAUCGGCCACACUGGAACUGAGACACGGUCCAGACUCCUACGGGAGGCAGCAGUAGGGAAUCUUCCGCAAUGGGCGAAAGCUUGACGGAGCAACGCCGCGUGAGUGAUGAAGGUCUUCGGAUCGUAAAACUCUGUUAUUAGGGAAGAACAAAUGUGUAAGUAACUAUGCACGUCUUGACGGUACCUAAUCAGAAAGCCACGGCUAACUACGUG